ACGGGGAUGCGGACGGGGAUAGGGACAGGGAUAGGGAUGGGGACGGGGAUGGGGACGGGAUCGGCUCCGUGCCCACGGAGCGAUGCGGCCGCUCCGUUCUUUAUUCCUGGCGCUGAUUUACAAGGCGCCCAUCUCCCUCCAGCAGCUGCUUGUGCUUUACGAGGUUUGCAGAUGAAAGCCAACGCGAUUUCCACCCACCCAGCCCAAACGGGAAGGCGCGCUCAGUAACCCUUUCCUAACCCUGGAGCCAGGGAUUCUGCGGAGAACAAUUUAGCCGGCAGGAGAUUCCAGGAAGGGCAAUUAAUGAAAGGCUUGGAUGGAGCUUGUCUUGUAUCUCGUUCCAAACACGGCCAGAGAGGUUUGCGCUGGGGCGGGGGAGGCAAACGUUAAAGGCAGGGCCUGCUCUGGAGCACACCCAGUCUGCAGCACCUGCAAAUUUCUCCCCCAGGAUAAAUAACUGAGGUAUCUCCGUCACUCGGGGCUGUUCAAAUUAUUCAUAGCAAAUAAAUUACCAGGUGUAUUUAGUCUGUUGUCGUUUCCCCCCCCGCCCUUUUCCUACCCGCUCAUGAAUCACUUGGAAAUAGAUUCUGAUUUCUGCAAGUGUGUCUAUUAGUCAUGAUAAGGAGCCGAGGCACGGCACAGGCUGUGGGCAGAGGCUCAUUACUGGCCUGGAGUCUACAUAUCAGAGGUGAUUCAGGUCCUGCUUCCCAGACCGAUUGGUGUUUUCCCCACUUCCUUUUUGACUCGCAAUGGGAGCGAGAGGAAGGACCGCAGAGAUGCUCAGCACAAACCUGCUCUGGCAGGCAGGAACGCCCUGCUUCUCCUGGGAAUGGGGCUGCUCCAACACAGACCAUGACCCCCGUGGGGUUGGUGGUCCUCUCCAAUGCCGCUGUGACCCACAGGCCUGCCGGUAUCCACCGGUGCGUGCCACAUCGGAGCUUUCACUGCCUCCAGUGCUCGUGCAUCUCCGAGUCUCAAGCUUGCCCACUUGCAGGAUGUCCCGCCCUGCCAGCCAGAACAUUCCCGGGAAGAUGCUCGAGGAGCAUUUCGUUCCCGCCUGUCACAGGGUCAGCCCCAGGCUCUGCCCAUGGGAAGCCGAGGAUCUGCUCCAGCCCUCUGCCCCCACCGGCAAUUCCGGCCCCGGCACACAGAGCGAGGCUGCCCCGCUGGAGCUCCAGGGUUCCGCUGCCUACGGACGGAGGGAAAACUUGUUGUGGCCGGAAAACAAUUCCCACGGCCAACUUGGGCAUCCUGGAGAGUGAACACUCCCUGCAAAGCCCCCAGUGCUGGCUGCCUGGUGUGGAUUAGCUAAAACAGGUUCUUGGCGAGCAUUACCGGGGUGACUUUGGAGCUCGGAAUGAGGAUGAUGAUAAUCAGGGGGCUCCGAUAAUCAGGGCUCUCGUUAGGCUCCGCUAAUGAGAGGGAGCGAGCGGAUCUCUCCCGUUGUCACACACGCCUGAAUCUAUCCAAGCCUUCCCUGGAGGUGUCUGC
rnacentral:lncRNA from 1 species